rnacentral:lncRNA from 1 species
UAAUCAGGCGUAAUUUCCUUAUUCCCUUCUACAUUUUGGCCUAUCCAGUUGGGCUGUGGGUGUGGCCCAUAGCCACGUUCCUGUGCUGAGUCAGCAUUUCUCACUGCGCGAGCUCAGGGGGAGCUGGUGACCUGGGCAGGGGAGGAGACAAAAUCUCCAGGCAUUGAUGGGCAUCACGCUGCGGCUGCUGCAGAAGACAUGGCCUCCUCAGAGUGCCACGGCAAGACAGGGGACCCAGCUCCUCGUCACUGUCAUCUGGGACUGAGCGAUGUGGGUCAGGACUACAGGAGCUUCUCUUGAGUGGGCACUGCUGGUCUCUAGGACUCCAGGGACUGGGCCUGACUUUGCCCAGAAGUGUGAAAAACCCAGAGGCAGCCUCCUCCUCCCACGUAUGAUGUCUGCACACAAGGGACCAGGGUCCGGGCUGUGGACGUGGCCACCGCUGUCCCCUGCAGCAGUGGAUAAGGGCGGCAUCUACCUGGUGGCC